UACGUAGGGGGCAAGCGUUGUCCGGAAUUAUUGGGCGUAAAGCGCGCGCAGGCGGCCGUUUAAGUUUGGUGUUUAAGCCCGGGGCUCAACCCCGGAUCGCACUGAAAACUGGAUGGCUUGAGUGUAGGAGAGGAAAGUGGAAUUCCACGUGUAGCGGUGAAAUGCGUAGAGAUGUGGAGGAACACCAGUGGCGAAAGCGACUUCCUGGACCAAUACUGACGCUCAUGUGCGAAAGCGUGGGGAGCAAACAGG
rnacentral:rRNA from 1 species